GUGUCAGCAGCCGCGGUAAAACGUAGGUGGCAAGCGUUAUCCGGAUUUACUGGGCGUAAAGCGUGUGCAGGCGGGUGUCCAAGUGGUGUAUGAAAUCGCUCGGCUCAACCGGGCGGGGUUAUGCCAGACUGGAUACCUUGAGGCUGGAAGAGGGACAUGGAAUUCCGGGUGUAGUGGUGAAAUGCGUAGAGAUCCGGAGGAACUCCAGAGGCGAAGGCGGUGUCCUAGGCCAGACCUGACGCUCAGACACGAGAGCAUGGGGAGCGAACGGGAUUAGAAACCCUCGUAGUCC
rnacentral:rRNA from 1 species